GUCCCUGAUGUGUAAUGGGUAGCGCGUUGGACUUCUAAUCCAAAGGGUGUGGGUUCGAAUCCCACCUGGAAUG